AAAACUAUAGUAUAUUAAGUAUUUUUAAUUGCAAAUUAAAAGGUAAUAGUUUUU
rnacentral:tRNA from 1 species